AAUUUGUAUUACAGAUAUGAAUAUGACAUUUUUAUUUUCCUUGUGUGAAGAAGACAUCUUUCUAGGUUUUUAAAUGUAAUUAGAAUGUGUUUUCUGGUGAGGAUAACAUAUUGUAGCAGGGGCUUUUCUUGGUGAUAUAAAUAGAACUGCUUGUGUACUUCACAGCAAAAAAUCUGAAGUUCUUCCUCCAAUGCUUGCACACUCUGUGGGAGCAAUCAGCUGAUGUUGACAAGGAUAGGUACAUUUGUAUAGCAACAAGGGAAAGUGUGCAGCCAUCCAUACUCGGGUCACUUUAGCCAUGGUCGUUGAACACAGAAUAUAUCUGUAUCUACACUCGUUCAAUAUCCGGAUUCACAGUGUAGUACACUGAUAUACACCAGGACUGUUAAGGUUUGGUAGAGGCUUCCUGUACUGGUGAAGAUUUAGCAUUUGAAAUCGUACAUGGAAGUGUGUGUAGUUAACGACUUCCUUGUAAACCACAUUAUUUGGGAAUUUAUUGCAGAGCAUAUAUAAAAUACGACCAGUGUUUGUUGGUGGUUCAAUGUGUUCUUGCUUAAGUCACGAUAUCAUUCUGCAUGACCACAUCUGGGGUACAGCAUCAUGUCCCCAUGUGGUAAAAGCUCCGAUCGUCAUUGCGAUGGUCGGACUUCCUGCACGAGGCAAGACGUAUAUGUCCAAAAAACUCACAAGAUAUCUCAACUGGAUUGGGAUCCGUACCAGAGUAUUUAACGUGGGCGAAUACAGAAGAGCAGCUACAGAUAAAUACAGAAGUCAUGAUUUCUUUAGAGCAGACAACAAGGAAGCCCUAGAAAUAAGACAAAAAUGUGCAAUGAUGGCUAUAGAUGAUGCUACAAAAUUCCUGAAGAGUGGCGGGGGAGAAGUGGCAGUUCUGGAUGCCACGAAUACAACGCGAUGCAGACGGAAGCUAUUGGUUGAUAUGAUACAUGUAGAAAACAAAUUCAAACUUUUCUUUGUGGAAUCUAUCUGUGAUGACCCUGGUAUCAUAGAGGCCAAUAUAGUAGAAGUGAAGGUUUGUAGCCCAGACUACAAUGGUAUGGAUCAGACUGAGGCUAUAGCAGAUUUCUUACAGAGAAUCCAACACUACAACGAGACUUAUGAACCCCUCUGUCACAAACAUGACAAGGAUCUCUCCUUCAUCCAGAUUUUCAAUCAAGGCGAGAGGUUUCAUGUUAAUAAACUAGCAGGGCAUUUACAGAGUAGAGUUGUAUAUUAUCUGAUGAAUAUUCAUGUGCUGCCCAGAACAAUCUAUUUGACACGGCAUGGAGAGAGUAUGAUGAAUCUAAAUGGAAGGAUAGGAGGGGACAGUGACUUAUCUGGCCGUGGUGAUGAAUAUGCUGAUGCUCUUGCCAAAUAUGUUGAGGAGGAAAAGAUUCCCAACCUGAAGGUUUGGACAAGUGAACUGAAGCGUACUAAGCAGACCGGCAAAUACCUAACAGCUCCCAUUGAGCACUGGAAGGCUCUAAAUGAAAUUGAUGCUGGUAUUUGUGAAGGAAUGACGUACGAAGAAAUCCAGGAGAAGUAUCCAGAGGAGUUCGCAAUGCGAGACCAGGACAAAUUCCAUUAUCGGUAUCCAAGUGGAGAGUCUUACCAAGAUUUAGUGGCUAGACUGGAGCCAGUGAUAAUGGAACUUGAGCGACAGGAGAAUGUGUUGGUGAUCUGUCAUCAGGCUGUGGCGCGGUGUCUGCUGGCCUAUUUCCAAGACAAAACCUCAGAGGAAAUCCCCUAUGUUCCUGUCCCCCAAGAGGCUGUCGUGAAAAUGCACAUGACUGGACAUGGCUGUGAAUGUGAAAAUAAUCUGCUGCUAAGCCGACCUCGCGUACCUGAAGGUCCCACUCCACACAGUCAUCAAACUAACACCGGUGGCUUAUGGCUGUAAGAUUGAGUUUGUUGCCCUGAAUGUAGAUGCAGUCAACACUCACAGGGAGCGUCCUCAGUGUACACUGACCCAGAGGAGUAGGGAUGAAGCCCUUCAGACCGUACCAGCUCACUACUGACUGCUACGGACUGCUACGGACUGCUGAUGUGGUGUACCAGAGGGAAGGAUCUCGCUUACCUGUUCCAAAUUCUCUUAUCAUUCUGUGUUCAUGAUUACACCUCUUAACAAUUCACUUUGUUUUCUUUUAACGGAUUGUUAGAUUAUGUUCAGAAUGUGUGGUAUCGUAUUGAUGAUAAUUUUUUCUCUUAAAUACAUUAAUAAAUUGGUUCAUAAAUUGAACAGGAUCUUGACUUUGCCAGACCUUUCAAUUUUACUCUCCUUGUCUGGCCACACAUGAUAUAAAGUGAAUAUUUAGAAUAUCUAUCUUGGGUGUUUAUGAUGUUUUUUAUACUAGAGGGUGUAAAUAAUAAUUAUCUGCAUGCUUUUAGGUUUUAUCUUUGUUAUCAUUAUUAAAUAUGUUAUCAUAGUAAGAGGGUAAAUUUUAGAAAGGUAUUUAGCAAAUUGACAGGGGAGAUAACUCUUAAAAUAUAAUGUUUAGAGCUAAAAAUCCACCACCAUAUAAUAGUAAAUGCAUUUGAUCUCAAUGAUAUUGUCUGUAGAUAUAAUAAUAUAAAUUUAUUAACAUUUCCUGCUGAACACCUGGUGCUUCUGUAGUUCUUGUCUGGAUGUGUUUGAUGAAAUCCCUUAUUUUGAUAUUUGGAAGAAAUGAAUCGAAUUUAAAUUACAGUUUUGAAGGCCUAGCUAACUAGGUCAAUGUUUCUAUCUAUAAAAAUUAUAGCCCAAUUUAGUUAUUUAAUACAAGGUACUAUUAUGGAAAUUGAACUCUUUAGAGAAGAUUGCAGGAAGUUGAUUUUGUGGAGCUGUGGAUGCAUUUAUUGAUUGUUAAAGUUGAAUCAGUUCUUUAAUUCAUUUAGAAAUUCCAACAAUUCCCAGGUGAAUUGGCAAGGACAUCUAAUAUUUAUAACAAAGUGUAGUUAAUUACUUAUACAGAUAUUCAAUAUAUGAUCAGUUGUGAGAAUUGUUUUUAAUAUGUUUUAUUAAUGUGUAUGGGGUAUCUGUGAUACUUCAUUUGUCUGGACUAAAGUACUACAGUUUGCUAAGUGUCAAAGUUCAGGCAGAGAGACAGGCUAAGUUUUACUAUAGCUAUAGUAUAAACAUAUUUAUACAAGGUCUUAUAUCAUUUAAAACUAUGUCUUUUAUCCAUGUAGAAAGGUUUUAUAUCCAGAAUGUAUGUUUUUGUUCAUGAAGCCUUUACAUUGAAUUGUUUAAAUAGCUCAAAUCUAUUUUUAACCAAAAGUUAUGACAUGUAAUUGUUUUAUAAAUGUGUAUAAUGUUUGCUCUUCUGAAAGUAAACAUUCUUUUUAGUUUAAGAUAAGAUUGUGAAAAGUGUUUGAAUGGUCAGUUAAGAUAGAGUAUGAAUAAGUUCCUGAGAGAGUGUAUGUAUAAGGCCAGGAUAUGAUUGGGUUUCUGAGAGAGUGUAUGGAUAAGGCCAGGAUAUGAUUGGGUUUCUGAGAGAGUGUAUGGAUAAGGCCAGGAUAUGAUUGGGUUUCUGAGAGAGUGUAUGGAUAAGGCCAGGAUAUGAUUGGGUUUCUGAGAGAGUGUAUGGAUAAGGCCAGGAUAUGAUUGGGACUCUGAGAGAGUGUAUGGAUAAGGCCAGGAUAUGAAUGAGUUUCUGAGAGAGUAUAUAGAUAAGGACAGGAUAUGAUGGGGUUUCUGAGAGAGUGUAUAGAUAAGGCCAGGAUAUGAAUGAGUUUCUGAGAGAGUAUAUGUAUAAGGACAGGAUAUGAUUGUGUUUCUGAGAGAGUGUAUGUAUAAGGACAGGAUAUGUUAGGAUUUCUGAGAGAGUAUAUAGAUAAGGCCAGGAUAUGAUUGUGUUUCUUAGAGAAUAUAUAGAUAAGGACAGGAUAUGAUUGUGUUUCUUAGAGAAUAUAUAGAUAAGGACAAGAUAUGAUUGGGUUUCUGAGAGAGUGUAUGGAUAAGGACAGGAUAUGAUUGGGUUUCAGAGAGAGUAUAUGUAUAAGGACAAGAUAUGAUUGGGACUCUGAGAGAGUAUAUGUAUAAGGACAGGAUAUGAUUAGGUUUCUGAGAGAGUAUAUAGAUAAGGACAAGAUAUGAUUGGGACUCUGAGAGAGUAUAUGUAUAAGGACAGGAUAUGAUUAGGUUUCUGAGAGAGUAUAUAGAUAAGGACAAGAUAUGAUUGGGUUUCUGAGAGAGUAUAUGUAUAAGGACAGGAUAUGAUUUGGUUUCUGAGAGAGUGUAUGUAUAAGGACAGGAUAUGUUAGGGUUUCUGAGAGAGUGUAUGUAUAAGGACAUGAUAUGAUUGGGUUUCUUAGAGAGUAUAUAGAUAAGGACAAGAUAUGAUUGGGUUUCUGAGAGAGUGUAUGUAUAAGGACAGGAUAUGAUUGGGACUCUGAGAGAGUGUAUGGAUAAGGCCAGGAUAUGAUUGGGUUUCAGAGAGAGUAUAUGUAUAAGGACAGGAUAUGAUUGGGUUUCUGAGAGAGUGUAUGGAUAAGGCCAGGAUAUGAUUGGGUUUCUGAGAGAGUGUAUGGAUAAGGCCAGGAUAUGAUUGGGGUUCAGAGAGAGUAUAGGUAUAAGGCCAGGAUAUGAUUGGGUUUCUGAGAGAGUGUAUGGAUAAGGCCAGGAUAUGAUUGGGUUUCUGAGAGAGUGUAUGGAUAAGGCCAGGAUAUGAUUGGGACUCUGAGAGAGUGUAUGGAUAAGGCCAGGAUAUGAAUGAGUUUCUGAGAGAGUAUAUGUAUAAGGACAGGAUAUGAUGGGGUUUCUGAGAGAGUGUAUGGAUAAGGCCAGGGUAUGAUUGGGUUUCUGAGUGAGUAUAUAGAUAAGGACAAGAUAUGAUUCGGUUUCUGAGAGAGUGUAUGUAUAAGGACAGGAUACGAUUGGGUUUCUGAGAGAGUAUAUAGAUAAGGACAGGAUAUGAUUGGGACUCUGAGAGAGUAUAUGUAUAAGGACAGGAUAUGAUUGGGUUUCUGAGAGAGUGUAUGUAUAAGGACAGGAUAUGUUAGGGUUUCUGAGAGAGUAUAUAGAUAAGGACAAGAUAUGAUUGGGUUUCUUAGAGAAUAUAUAGAUAAGGACAUGAUAUGAUUGGGUUUCUGAGAGAGUGUAUGUAUAAGGACAGGAUAUGAUUGGGUUUCUGAGAGAGUAUAUAGAUAAGGACAUGAUAUGAUUGGGUUUCUGAGUGAGUAUAUGUAUAAGGCCAGGAUAUGAUUUGGUUUCUGAGAGAGUAUAUGUAUAAGGCCAGGAUAUGAUUGGGUUAUUUACUGUUUUAGUGAAUGUUGUGUGUGUUAUUUAUUUGCCAUCCUAUUAUCCAGGUUUGCUGUAGCUAUUUUAUCUGUUGACAAUGUGAAACAUUCUAAUUUUUAAUUUUUUUUUAUUAUAUAGUUGUGAUAUUAUAAUUUCUUGAUGAGAUAUAUUCCGUGAUAUGUUAGAUGAAUAGAAAUAUCCUGAUUUUCUGUGUUUAUAAAUGAAAAUGGUUACUGUCAGUGUAUGAAUUGAAGCCAAAUGAUGUACAGAAUUUUAUCUUGUUAAAUGGAAACUGAGAGCAGCUAUAAUACAGAAAUUUUAUAAAUUAUUUUUCAAUAAUUGUACUAAGAUUAAAAUAAAAGAGUAGAAUCAUCUUGUGAAUAAUUAUGAAUCCUGCUAACAUUAGCAGCCUACUAGCUACAAGUCUGUUUUUAUGAUAUGACAAUGGUGCCAUAAUGUUGUGAUGUCACUGCUGAUACAGUUGUAACUGCCACUGCCAGACUGGCUGGGAGUAAUUAAACAUGUGUUGACAACACAUGUAUUUCCACUUACUACAGAGUUAGUGUAUGAUAUAUUUCUAAUGAUACAGAAUCGGUACAAUUAUGUGAUAUAUAUAACUAAUGAUACAGAAUCGGUACAAUUAUGUGAUAUAUAUAACUAAUGAUACAGAAUCGGUACAAUUAUGUGAUAUAUAUAACUAAUGGUUAUAGAUUUGUUGAAAAUAAAAAAUCAGAUUCCUUUUAAAA